CUCCCUUAAUGAUUUCUCCCGUCACAACUUCGUAAUAAUAAUCUGCCCCCAAUAAAAUAUCAAUUGUUUCACUCGCACCAUUAAUCUCGUCUGCAAAUUCAAGUCCAUCCAGUUGUGGAAACUCCGCUAUAUCCACUCGUGUAGCAACUGGUGAACAUAUAACUGGAAAUGCUAGGGCUCUCACUUCAAUGGUAAAAACAUCGUCCAAUCCUUGAAUGCCUAGCUCAACCAUUUCACAACUUUGUUUCUUAAACUGUUCUUCACCAAACGUGUUCAAAUGCACUGUUUCCCUUUUCCUGGUAGACAGACCUAAUCUCGAUUUUAAACUACUAGUGACAUAACUUCGCUGACUUCCUGAGUCAAAGAGAACCCUA